rnacentral:lncRNA from 1 species
AAGAAGUCAGGCCGAUUUAAGCCAUAGUACGGUAAGAGCUAUGCUGCCUGUGAGCCCCGUCCAAGGACGUAAAAUGAAGUCAGGCCGAAAGCCACGGCUUGAGCAAACCGUGCUGCCUGUGGCUCCAUCGUGGGGAUGUAAAACCCGGGAGGCUGCAACCCAUGGAAGCUGUACGCAUGGGGUAGCAGACUAGUGGUUAGAGGAGACCCCUCCCAAGAUACAACGCAGCAGCGGGGCCCAACACCAGGGG